rnacentral:rRNA from 1 species
GACGAACGCUGGCGGCGUGCUUAACACAUGCAAGUCGAACGGAAAGGCCCUGCUUUUGUGGGGUGCUCGAGUGGCGAACGGGUGAGUAACACGUGAGUAACCUGCCCUUGACUUUGGGAUAACUUCAGGAAACUGGGGCUAAUACCGGAUAGGAGCUCCUGCUGCAUGGUGGGGGUUGGAAAGUUUCGGCGGUUGGGGAUGGACUCGCGGCUUAUCAGCUUGUUGGUGGGGUAGUGGCUUACCAAGGCUUUGACGGGUAGCCGGCCUGAGAGGGUGACCGGCCACAUUGGGACUGAGAUACGGCCCAGACUCGUACGGGAGGCAGCAGUGGGGAAUAUUGCACAAUGGGCGGAAGCCUGAUGCAGCAACGCCGCGUGCGGGGUGACGGCCUUCGGGUUGUAAACCGCUUUCGCCUGUGACGAAGCGUGAGUGACGGUAAUGGGUAAAGAAGCACCGGCUAACUACGUG